rnacentral:rRNA from 1 species
AAGUUGUUGCGGUUAAAAGCUCGUAGUUCGAGCUCAGUUCCGGACUGGCCGGGGAGGUCACCGCCCGGUGCUUCCCCGUCAGGCUCCGAACAGCCUUCGUGAGCGGAGGCCAAGCCGGUUCUGCCGGGGUGCUCUUUACCGAGUGUCCCGCGCGGCCGGCCAGUUCACCUUGAAUAAAUGAGAGUGCUCAAAGCAGGCUACUCUCGAAUACAAUGCCCGAAUGUUACCUGCAUGGAAUGAUGGAAGAUGAUCUCGGUUCCAUUUUAUUGGUGGUGGGAGCCCGAGGUAAUGAUAAACAGGGACUGUCGGGGGCAUCCGUACUACGACGCGAGAGGUGAAAUUCAGUGACCGUCGUAGGACGAACAACAGCGAAAGCAUUUGCCAAGAAUGUCUUCGUUGAUCAAGAACGAAAGUUAGAGGAUCGAAGGCGAUCAGAUACCGCCCUAGUUCUAACCCUAAACGAUGCUGACUAGCAAUUCGCCGUCGUUAUUCCCAUGACGUGGCGAGACGCCCCCGGGAAACCUCAAGUCUUUGAGUUCCGGGGGUAGUAUGGUUGCAAAACUGAAACUUAAAGGAAUUGAAGGAAGGGCACCACCAGGAGUGGAGCCUGCGGCUUAAUUUGACUCAACACGGGAAACCUCACCAGGCCCGGACACCAGAAGGAUUGACAGAUUAAGAGCUCUUUCUCGAUUUGGUGGGUGGUGGUGCAUGGCCGUUCUUAGUUGGUGGAGUGAUUUGUCUGGUUAAUUCCGGUAACGAACGAGACUCUGGCCUACUAAAUAGUCGACGGGCGUUUUGGUGCAUGGGCCCCGUUCGACACAGUCUUCUUAGAGGGAUGAGCAGCGAGUAUAGCUGCAGGAGAUUGAGCAAUAACAGGUCUGUGAUGCCCUUAGAUGUCCUGGGCCGCACGCGCGCUACACUGAAUGGGUUAGCGGGUUGUCCUUCUCCGAGAGGAGCGGGAAAUCGCUUGAAAACCAUUCGUGAUAGGGAUUGGGGCUUGCAAUUGUUUCCCAUGAACGAGGAAUUCCCAGUAAGCGCAAGUCAUCAGCUUGCGUUGAUUAAGUCCCUGCCCUUUGUACACACCGCCCGUCGCUACUACCGAUUGAAUGAUUUAGUGAGGCCUUCGGACUGGCGGUCUUGGACUGGGGCGCCGGCGUCUUCCAGCAAUGGGGACUCGGCGACCCGCCUAGACGGGCCGGAAAGAUGUCCAAACUUGAUCAUUUAGAGGAAGUAAAAGUCGUAACAAGGUUUCCGUAGGUG